rnacentral:rRNA from 1 species
GACGAACGCUGGCGGCGUGCCUAACACAUGCAAGUCGAACGGAAGCAAAGAUUUCGGUUUUUGCUUUAGUGGCGAACGGGUGAGUAACGCGUGAGGAACCUGCCUUUCAGUGGGGGACAACAGUUGGAAACGACUGCUAAUACCGCAUAAUGCUUUUGAGUGGCAUCACUUAAAAGUCAAAGAUUUAUUGCUGAAAGAUGGCCUGCGUCUGAUUAGCUAGUUGGCGGGUAACGGCCACCAAGGCGACGAUCAGUAGCCGGUCUGAGAGGAUGAACGGCCACAUUGGACUGAGAUACGGCCCAGACUCCUACGGGAGGCAGCAGUGGGGAAUAUUGGGCAAUGGGGGAAACCCUGACCCAGCAACGCCGCGUGAAGGAAG